rnacentral:rRNA from 1 species
CUGAAGUCAGCGGCGGACGGGUGAGUAACACGUGGGCAACCUGCCUGUAAGACUGGGAUAACUUCGGGAAACCGGAGCUAAUACCGGAUAAUGCACAGCCUCUCAUGAGGCUAUGCUGAAAGAUGGUUUCGGCUAUCACUUACAGAUGGGCCCGCGGCGCAUUAGCUAGUUGGUGAGGUAACGGCUCACCAAGGCAACGAUGCGUAGCCGACCUGAGAGGGUGAUCGGCCACACUGGGACUGAGACACGGCCCAGACUCCUACGGGAGGCAGCAGUAGGGAAUCUUCCGCAAUGGACGAAAGUCUGACGGAGCAACGCCGCGUGAGUGAUGAAGGUUUUCGGAUCGUAAAACUCUGUUGUCAGGGAAGAACAAGUGCCGGAGUAACUGCCGGCACCUUGACGGUACCUGACCAGAAAGCCACGGCUAACUACGUGCCAGCAGCCGCGGUAAUACGUAGGUGGCAAGCGUUGUCCGGAAUUAUUGGGCGUAAAGCGCGCGCAGGCGGUCUCUUAAGUCUGAUGUGAAAGCCCACGGCUCAACCGUGGAGGGUCAUUGGAAACUGGGGGACUUGAGUGCAGAAGAGGAAAGUGGAAUUCCA